GACGAACGCUGGCGGCGUGCCUAAUACAUGCAAGUAGAACGCUGAAGCGAGGAGCUUGCUCUUCUUGGAUGAGUUGCGAACGGGUGAGUAACGCGUAGGUAACCUGCCUUGUAGCGGGGGAUAACUAUUGGAAACGAUAGCUAAUACCGCAUAACAAUGGAUGACACAUGUCAUUUAUUUGAAAGGGGCAAUUGCUCCACUACAAGAUGGACCUGCGUUGUAUUAGCUAGUAGGUGAGGUAAUGGCUCACCUAGGCGACGAUACAUAGCCGACCUGAGAGGGGGAUCGGCGACACUGGGACGGAGACACGGCCCAGACUCCUACGGGAGGCAGCAGUAGGGAAUCUUCGGCAAUGGGGGCAACCCUGACCGAGCAACGCCGCGUGAGUGAAGAAGGUUUUCGGAUCGUAAAGCUCUGUUGUAAGUCAAGAACGGGUGUGAGAGUGGAAAGUUCACACUGUGACGGUAGCUUACCAGAAAGGGACGGCUAACUACGUG
rnacentral:rRNA from 1 species